UUGGGGUGUAGCCAAGUGGUAAGGCAGCGGACUUUGACUCCGCGAUUCGCAGGUUCGAAUCCUCCCACCCCAGA
rnacentral:tRNA from 1 species